rnacentral:lncRNA from 1 species
UACAUAUAUGGUAACAGAAGUUUGGUGUCAAGAUAUGAUGAUGAAUAUUGGGAACAAGACAAUGAAGAUUAGAGUGACUCCUUAAAUUACUGAGUCUCCAAUCCUUUAUAUAGUUCAAAGCCGCACUCCAGACCUAUUAAAAAAAUUGCUACCAACAGGUAUGCAAGCAGGAAGUAAAAAGUUUCAAAAGAUUAGUAUGAUAAUGAGUAUGCUGAUUACAAAGUUGAUGACAAGAUGGUAAAUUCUAUUUUUUAACAUCUAUCAUCUCCUAUUAUAUUUGGUGUUGUAUGUAGUAGGGUAUAUGAUGAACUUUCUAGAUAAAACGUGAAGGAAAUAGUCACCGUAGUCUGCAAUUCUUUCUUCUUUGGUGUUGGGAUUCGCGGAGCGCACAAUUCUGUGUUUGGACAAUUGAUACAUUCUUGUAAUGAAUUGUUAAUGUGUAUUGGGGGAAAAAAAAGGAAAAUUAGAGGAUUGUGGAAAUAUAUGAAGUAGGAGAAGAAGAAAACUGGAUAACCACCCAUUUAAUAGAUCGGCUCUUUCAACCUCUUAUCUUUUCUUGACUCUGUUAGAGGGUAGUUAAGAAGAGUACUUAUCAUAAUAAAAUUGUGAGCGUCACAGUUGAUUUUCACUUAACAUUUUCAUUAACUAUUUUCUUACUUCUUGCGGAAGACGAUGGCGAUAAUCCUGACUAUGGUAGCACAGGUCGUGGAAGGGGCGUUAAGGUGUGUCUUAUGCGGAGCAUUGUUCAUAUUCUAUUUGGUGUGCUUGGCCUUGUUACUGGUUACUUCAUGUACUUUAAUUUUUCAAGAGUAAGUGCUUAAUUGGCAUUUGACAUAUCUUUUAGCAUGUCCAUUUUUGGAAUAUUAAUUUUACAGUAGGAAAGUUUGGUCCUUGUCAUUCAUGUGGAGUUCCUUAUUAUCCAGAAUAUAAUACUUGAAAAGUCUUGUGUAUAGUCUUGUGUGUAAUGGUUUAAUAUAUUCAACUAUAUGAAUUUUGUACUCUUUAUGUUGUAUGAAAAUGUUGAGAGUUGUAUGGAUGAUUUGAUGGUUUUAGAAGAAAAUAUAAGCUAUUUGAUAGGUGGCAAAAUUUUGAUAGUAUCAGACAUUUACAAUAUAUGUAAGCACCAAGUAAUAUCAUACCGAACGAUUAAUUACAAGGGUUACACUUUAUUAUUUGGAAUGGAUGUUACAUUGUCCAUUUUUUUGGCAUAUUUUGGUCAGACAAUAGCUAAUCAUUUUUCGGUAAUUAACUCAAUCAAAUAAGUUGAUUGUUUAUCGCUUUGAGCUCGUAACUUACCCCUUCAAAUUUAUAUUAUUCAUUAUGCUACAGUUUAUCAAUACUGAUUAUAACAUUUGUACUAAUUAACACGGGAUACACGUGCAACGCACGUGUCCGGAAAUUAGUUUCCAUAAAUGAUUCUUUUCAUAGAAAUACUAUGGGUGUCUAUAUUCUUGAUUCCUAUGUGAAUUAUCAUUAUAUCUUCUGUUCAUGGGUCUCAGAAAAAUAUACGUAAAUUUAUAAAGUUUACUUCAUGAUAUUAAUUAAAGGCAUAGUGGUCUUAUGACAUUCCGAGAAAUUUUGGCUGUAAAAAAUUUUUUUAAAAAAAUAUUUUUAUUUCUCGAGAUUAUACAAAUAUCGUAUAUUUGCAUUAGUCAUCUCUGGGUGCAU